GGGAAAAGUGUGAAAAUUCAAGUAAUCAAGCAAUCAAAGGUGGUGAGCCAUCUAACAAGAGUAAAGACGUUGUGUCAAAGGAUUGAGAAUAUGAGUAUUUCAAACUCCUGAUACUGCUGGAUAAUGAUAAAAUUGCCAUGUCAUGCUGUUGCAAAUUUUAUUGUAUUGGGGGUUUAACCUGCUGCAGUGGCGAGUUUUCUGUGGACCAGCCUAUUAGAGGAGCACGAAAUCCUGUUAUAUUUUACCUCGGUUGGAGAGGCGA